AAGAGCUGUGCUCCUUUUGAAGGCAGAUAAAACAUCACACAGCCAUGCAUCUCAAACCUUACAAACUCAGGCAGUGUUGAUUUACUUCCCAACAUCUAGAAAUGAAAGCAGAACAACAGCAAAAUGCAUACUGCUGUUUUCCAUUCUGACCAAAACAUGUAGCUUGUCAUUCCUCCAAUGUAACGAUUCUGCACAAUUCAUUACACCCAUCUAUCACAGCUCGUUUUUUACAGCUGUAGCAGCAAUGCUGAGUCAGGGCCUGAAGCGGUGAUGGAGCACCUGGUGGGAAGGCAGGGCCAGCACAGGACAGCACAGGUGUAAGCAAUGCGUCUGAGUGAUGGAAGGGCUGGAGCCAGGAUCCACCCCUUCCAGCCCUCAUUCAAGAGCUGGCAGUGGAGAUGUGAGCAUCUCUCUUUGGAGGUUCCUGUGUAUCUGAGGUCUCUUGAAGGACAGGGACAAUCUGAGAAAAUUUAGCCAAUAGAAAUCUCCAUGCCAGUGAGUAACAUACUCAAUUCAAGCAUGGUCUCCCAGUGAGCAGAGAAGACACAGCUGCACAAUCAUUGCCACAGCACUGAGGAUCAAACACUCUUCUGUCUCCCAGCUGAGCAAACCCAGGGAGCUGUGAUUACAGCAGAUGGGUGUGCAGGGCUGUGUGCUCUCCUCAGGUGCACUGAGGACCUCCAGCCAGGCUGACCAUUUGACUCAGCCUGAGUCAGCAGCAUGAAGGCAAUGCACUGUUUCCUCAAGCCCUGCAGCAGCACACACUGCACCAGGGAAGCACUGUGGUCAGCCAGAAGUUCUUGGACGGACAGUGGGAGUUAAGUGCAUGAAAUCCAACACUCCGUGUCAUAUACCAGAGGUCAGACCCAGGGCCCCUUCAGAUCCAAAACGCAAAUGCAGCAACUGUUUCCUCCCAAGAAAGCCCUCCAAAGCCUGUUUCUGGAAAACCCAGAGCAGAGGCAGGAAGAGAUGGGAGGACAAAGUCAGCCCAAUGGACACAAAGCACUGGGAGUCCACAUCUGAUGUCAGUGCCCAUGCACACCAAGGGUUGGCUCAGCUGCAGGGCCCAGCAGUGGCAGCCCGGGGUGCUGGUCCUUGUCUGACCCCGCUGUGUUUCACAUGCUGUUCUCCUCUGGGCUGAGCCAGCU